AAUCUCUACCCUUUGGAAACUCGGAAGUUUGUUUGACUGAACAGAGUGGCAUUGGCAAGCAGAAGCAGCAGUAUAUAAAUAUUUCAUUUAGAGAUUCCUCUCCCCAUUCCUCUCUACCCCCUAGCUCCUCUCCACAUCAGAUUAUGGGGAUUAUAAAAGAUGGUUCAGUAUCAGGAAUUUUACCCAGUAACAAGGUCUUUGCUGUUCAUUACCCUGCUUACCCUUCUUCAAUGGAACGUGCCAUUGAGACUCUUGGCGGCAUUCAAGGCAUUGUCAAGGCUCGAACUUCACAGUCAAAUAAGCUGGAGCUCCAUUUCCGGCCAGAAGAUCCUUAUUCACACCCUGCCUUUGGGGAGCUUAGGCAUAGAAAUAAUUUCCUGUUGAAAAUAUCCAAGACUAAAGUAAGGGAUGUCGAAACCGCUGACAAUAGUUGUGGAAUAUCGAUGCAAUCUUCAGGGAGUCCUGUUAAUUGUGAACAAGAAAUUUCUCGUGUUGAACAUUCGUUAGCUGCAGAAAAGGUGAAUGAGUCUAGAUGGUUAUCUGCUGGUGCUUCAAAAGAAUUUGAAGUGCAGAAUACUACAAAAUUGCAGGUGCAUCUCUCAGCUAAUAUUGUUUCUCAUGUUGCUGAAGCUUAUCAUUUUAAUGGAAUGGUAGACUAUCAGCAUGUUCUUGCCGUUCAUGCUGAUGUUGCUAGAAGAAAAAAAAGACAGUGGGCAGAGGUGGAACCUAAAUUUGAGAAGGGAGGUCUUAUGGAUGUCGAUCAGGAGGAUUUGAUGAUUUUACUACCUCCUCUGUUUUCCUUAAAAGAUAUGCCUGAGAAUAUUGUAUUAAAAUCACUUGCACCAAAAAGAAAACAAGAGGUGCUUUACCGGCAAAAUUGGGAGAGGGAGAUGGAGCAGAGUCUUAACCUUGAUGUUAAUAUCAAAGAGAUUCCUAAACCAGUGGAUUGGGAAAAGCACAUACUUCAGGGCUCAGAAGAUUGGAGACGGCAGAAGGUGGUAUCUGAAUUGUUUGAAGAGCGUCAAAUAUGGGUCAAAGAGUCAUUAGCUGAGCGCUUGCGUGAUGGGGGUCUGAAGCUUGGAGAGAGCAGGAUCAAAAGGCUUCUCUUUAGAGUAGCAUAUUACUUUUCGAGUGGGCCUUUCCGUAGAUUCUGGAUAAGGAAAGGUUAUGAUCCUCGGAAGGAUCCUGAAUCCCGCAUAUUGAAACAUAGAUGGGAUGAUAUAUGUGCCUUCCGUGUUUUUCCGUAUAAAUGUCAGAUAUCAUUGCAACUUUGUGAACUCAAGGACAACUACAUUCAACAAGAAAUCAGAAAACCCUCAAAUCAAGAAACUUGUGAUAAUACAACAGGAUGGUUCUCCUCUCAUAUUCUUGAUUGCUUGAGACUGUGCAUUGCUGUGAGAUUUAUGUCAGUAUGCCCUCAUCCCGAUGCAGAGUCUUUACUAAAAACUGUGUCUGCCCGCUUUGAGAAGUCGAAGAGGAUUCACACUUGUGUGAAAGUUACAAGAUCUGAAGAGCAAGGAAAAGUCCAUAAAGAAGCUGAAAACAAUGAAGUCGAUGACCAAGCAGAAAACAAUGAAGUUGAUGAACCUGAUUAUUUAGAAGAUGAUGAAGAUGACUUUGAGGAUGAUAAUGUUGAAGAUGAGAUGGAUGCGUACGAACCUCUUGACCUUGUUGGCCAGGAAGGGGAUGUCUCUAUACAUGAUGAUCCACAUACAAACCACGAUAAUGUUUCAAGAGAUUACUUGCAAGAGCUCUUUGGUAAUUUUCCAUUCAGUACAGCGGGGGUGGAUGAAGUGCAAGAUGAUCAGAGUCUUGGAGAAUAUCAGAUAUAUGACCAAUACAUCGAUGGCUCUUAUUCCGAAGAUGAAGACUACUAAGAUGUCUUUUGUAUAAAGAUAAGAAGCAGUCAAGAGCAAUACCAGAAAGGAACUGCACAGAAAAUAGCUGCACUCGCACUCGCAGUUGCUAGAGGGAAGCUUUUCGGAUCUACUUGAAGAUUCGAAGCGGAAGUAAAAGAAGAAGUAAGUAAGAAAAAACAAAUUUUCCUGUACCAUUCUAAUUAUUUAUUCCAAUUGCAUGUGAAUUUCUUUUCCUGUACUUCCAUAUAAGUUUUCUAAAGAGUUUGUACAUCAAUUUAACCUCUUUUUUUUACUUGACUGAAACUGAUGUCCAACAGGCCUUGAUAUGUAGGGUCUUAUUUUUGCAAGAAAGGAAACAAAGCCAAUUCCAUUUCGAUAUUAUAUUGUUCAAGAAUUAAGCAGGAAAUUUACUUUGCCUUUGUUUUUUUCUUUUUGUUCUAUGUUUGUGAGAUCCACUUCUUGCAAACAAAACUUGGUGAAAAUUGGUAAGAAUAUGAUGCAACAACGGCGUAUGCAACAAUGAUUGUUAUAUCAUUGAGAAGUAAAUAGUAUGCUCUAUCUUGUCCA